GACGAACGCUGGCGGCGUGCCUAAUACAUGCAAGUCGAACGAACUCUGGUAUUGAUUGGUGCUUGCAUCAUGAUUUACAUUUGAGUGAGUGGCGAACUGGUGAGUAACACGUGGGAAACCUGCCCAGAAGCGGGGGAUAACACCUGGAAACAGAUGCUAAUACCGCAUAACAACUUGGACCGCAUGGUCCGAGUUUGAAAGAUGGCUUCGGCUAUCACUUUUGGAUGGUCCCGCGGCGUAUUAGCUAGAUGGUGAGGUAACGGCUCACCAUGGCAAUGGUACGUAGCCGACCUGAGAGGGUAAUCGGCCACAUUGGGACUGAGACACGGCCCAAACUCCUACGGGAGGCAGCAGUAGGGAAUCUUUCACAAUGGACGAAAGUCUGAUGGAGCAACGCCGCGUGAGUGAAGAAGGGUUUCGGCUCGUAAAACUCUGUUGUUAAAGAAGAACAUAUCUGAGAGUAACUGUUCAGGUAUUGACGGUAUUUAACCAGAAAGCCACGGCUAACUACGUGCCAGCAGCCGCGGUAAUACGUAGGUGGCAAGCGUUGUCCGGAUUUAUUGGGCGUAAAGCGAGCGCAGGCGGUUUUUUAAGUCUGAUGUGAAAGCCUUCGGCUCAACCGAAGAAGUGCAUCGGAAACUGGGAAACUUGAGUGCAGAAGAGGACAGUGGAACUCCAUGUGUAGCGGUGAAAUGCGUAGAUAUAUGGAAGAACACCAGUGGCGAAGGCGGCUGUCUGGUCUGUAACUGACGCUGAGGCUCGAAAGUAUGGGUAGCAAACAGGAUUAGAUACCCUGGUAGUCCAUACCGUAAACGAUGAAUGCUAAGUGUUGGAGGGUUUCCGCCCUUCAGUGCUGCAGCUAACGCAUUAAGCAUUCCGCCUGGGGAGUACGGCCGCAAGGCUGAAACUCAAAGGAAUUGACGGGGGCCCGCACAAGCGGUGGAGCAUGUGGUUUAAUUCGAAGCUACGCGAAGAACCUUACCAGGUCUUGACAUACUAUGCAAAUCUAAGAGAUUAGACGUUCCCUUCGGGGACAUGGAUACAGGUGGUGCAUGGUUGUCGUCAGCUCGUGUCGUGAGAUGUUGGGUUAAGUCCCGCAACGAGCGCAACCCUUAUUAUCAGUUGCCAGCAUUAAGUUGGGCACUCUGGUGAGACUGCCGGUGACAAACCGGAGGAAGGUGGGGAUGACGUCAAAUCAUCAUGCCCCUUAUGACCUGGGCUACACACGUGCUACAAUGGAUGGUACAACGAGUUGCGAACUCGCGAGAGUAAGCUAAUCUCUUAAAGCCAUUCUCAGUUCGGAUUGUAGGCUGCAACUCGCCUACAUGAAGUCGGAAUCGCUAGUAAUCGCGGAUCAGCAUGCCGCGGUGAAUACGUUCCCGGGCCUUGUACACACCGCCCGUCACACCAUGAGAGUUUGUAACACCCAAAGUCGGUGGGGUAACCUUUUAGGAACCAGCCGCCUAAGGUGGGACAGAUGAUUAGGGUG
rnacentral:rRNA from 1 species